AUUGAACGCUGGCGGCAUGCCUUACACAUGCAAGUCGAACGCGAAAGGGGGGCAACCCCUGAGUAGAGUGGCGCACGGGUGAGUAAUGCAUCGGAACGUGUCCUGUAGCGGGGGAUAACCUAGCGAAAGCUAGGCUAAUACCGCAUACGCCCUAAGGGGGAAAGUGGGGGAUCGUAAGACCUCACACUAUAGGAGCGGCCGAUGCCGGAUUAGCUAGUUGGUGGGGUAACAGCUCACCAAGGCGACGAUCCGUAGCUGGUCUGAGAGGAUGAUCAGCCACACUGGGACUGAGACACGGCCCAGACUCCUACGGGAGGCAGCAGUGGGGAAUUUUGGACAAUGGGGGAAACCCUGAUCCAGCCAUGCCGCGUGAGUGAAGAAGGCCUUCGGGUUGUAAAGCUCUUUCGGCCGGGACGAAAUCGCACGCGUGAAUAUCGUGUGCGGAUGACGGUACCGGCAGAAGAAGGACCGGCUAACUACGUGCCAGCCGCCGCUGUAA
rnacentral:rRNA from 1 species